rnacentral:rRNA from 1 species
AUGCUACCUUGUGAUUUCUUUGCUUCUAACUUGCAUUGCAUGAUGCCAUCACUUAAGGUAGAUUUGAAAAACUAUUUGCUUGGACAUGAUCAUACACACCUUGUUAGUGGCAUUACUCUCAUUUGUGAUGAUCACAGUUACUUUCCUCGUGCUAGUUCUAUGCUUAAUGAAACAUAUCAUUCCCAUGCUAGUCUUGAGCUUAAUGAUAAAUAUCAUCCUCAUGUUAGUGUUGACCUUGCUGAUUUCUACCAUCCUAAACAUGUGCUUUAUAGCUAUGCUUAUGUAAUUGGAUAUUCGAUUGAUGACUUGGAGGGUAUUAUCCCUACCGCUUGCAUUGUUUCUUUUGUUGAGUGCCCUUUCAGGUUUUUGCUACUGCACCGUUCACUACAUGCUGACCAGGUUCGAGGUGACAUCCCUUGGGAUCCUGGUGGAGUCAGAGCAUGGCGAUGAGGAGAAGCAAGGGGCACACACGAAGAAGAGUGAAGCUGGAGCAUGCAUGAGGAAGCAAAAGGAGAGGAGUCGUAAUGCACGAGGAUGUAAGAGUGAUCGAGCGAGACCUACAUCAUAUAAUCCCGGUAGCUGAGCUGGGCUGCAGUGCAGUUCACGGCGACAGAGGUGGCUG